UAUACAUGCAGUCGAGCGGACAGAUGGAGAGCUUGCUCCCUGAUGUUAGCGGCGGACGGGUGAGUAACACGUGGGUAACCUGCCUGUAGGACUGGGAUAACUCCGGGAAACCGGGGCUAAUACCGGAUGCUUGUUUGAACCGCAUGGUUCAAACAUAAAAGGUGGCUUCGGCUACCACUUACAGAUGAACCCGCGGCGCAUUAGCUAGUUGGUGAGGUAACGGCUCACCAAGGCAACGAUGCAUAGCCGACCUGAGAGGGUGAUCGGCCACACUGGGACUGAGACACGGCCCAAACUCCUACGGGAGGCAGCAGUAGGGAAUCUUCCGCAAUGGACGAAAGUCUGACGGAGCAACACCACGGGAGUGAUGAAGGUUUUCGGAUCGUAAAGCUCUGUUGUUAGGGAAGAACAAGUGCCGUUCGAAUAGGGCGGUACCUUGACGGUACCUAACCAAAAAGCCACGGCUAACUACGUGCCAGCAGCCGCGGUAAUACGUAGGUGGCAAGCGUUGUCCGGAAUUAUUGGGCGUAAAGGGCUCGCAGGCGGUUCCUUAAGUCUGAUGUGAAAGCCCCCGGCUCAACCGGGGAGGGUCAUUGGAAACUGGGGAACUUGAGUGCAGAAGAGGAGAGUGGAAUUCCACGUGUAGCGGUGAAAUGCGUAGAGAUGUGGAGGAACACCAGUGGCGAAGGCGACUCUCUGGUCUGUAACUGACGCUGAGGAGCGAAAGCGUGGGGAGCGAACAGGAUUAGAUACCCUGGUAGUCCACGCCGUAAACGAUGAGUGCUAAGUGUUAGGGGGUUUCCGCCCCUUAGUGCUGCAGCUAACGCAUUAAGCACUCCGCCUGGGGAGUACGGUCGCAAGACUGAAACUCAAAGGAAAUUGACGGGGCCCCGCACAAGCGGUGGAUCAUGUGGUUUAUUUCGAAGCAACGCCAAG
rnacentral:rRNA from 1 species